CGGGAACGUGGCGGCCAUCUUGGAGCUGGACGAGCACCUGCAGAAGGAGUUCAUCAUCUUCGAGGCGGCGCCGCAGGAGACGCGCGGCAUCCCCGCCAAGAAACCCGUGGCCGACUACUUCCUGUGACCCACCUGGGCACAGGUGACACCCCUGGGACACGCCCCGGGCGGGUGGCACACCCCGGGCACACCUGGGGCAGGUGACGCCUCACCUGGGUCAGGGGUCACACCUGGAACUCACCUGGGCUGGGUGACACAGCCCGGGUGCACCUGGGGCAGGUGACACCUCACCUGGGUCAGAGGUGACACUCCUGGGUCAGGGGUCACACCUGGGACACACCCGGGGCAGGUGACACACCUCGGGCACACCUGGGGCAGGUGACACCUCACCUGGGUCAGGGGUCACACCUGGGACACGCCCAGGCUGGGUGGCACACCCCGGGCACACCUGGGGCAGGUGACGUCUCACCUGGGGUCACAGGUGACACUCCUGGAUCAGGGGUCACACCUGGGACACGCCCGGAGCAGGUGAUGCCUCACCUGGGUCGGGGUCACACGUGGGACACGCCCUGGGCUGGUGACACACCCUGGGCACACCUGGGGCGGGUGACGCCUCACCUGGCUCAGGGGUCACAGCUGGGACACGCCCGGGGCAGGUGACACCUCACCUGGCUCAGGGGUCACAGCUGGGACACACUUGGGGCAGGUGACACCUCACCUGGCUCAGGGGUCACACCUGGGACACGCCCCAGGCUGGGUGACACACCCCAGGCACACCUGGGGCAGGUGACACCUCACCUGGCUCAGAGGUCACACCUGGGUCAGAGGUCACACCUGGGACAUGCCCGGGGCAGGUGACACACCUCGGGCACACCUGGGGCAGGUGACGCCUCACCUGGCUCAGGGGUCACACCUGGGACUCACCCGGGGCAGGUGACACCUCACCUGGGUCAGGGGUCACACCUGG